rnacentral:lncRNA from 1 species
AUAUAUAUAUAUAUAUAGUAGGGCUACUAUACUUUUAUGAGUAUUAGACACUUCGUACUCAUAAGUUGUUUUCGAUGAUGGGGUUUCCGAAUCGACGAUCCUCUCCAUUAAAUAUGAUCUAGAGUAUUUGAAACUUCUAAAAAAUAAAUUUCGUAAUUUUUUAAAAUCUUAAUAAAGUCAAUCAAACGGGCAUAAAAUGAACGGUGAAAAUCAAACGAUGUACUAAAAAUGGAUGAUCGGAUCUUUCAAUUUAAGAUCGGAGUUAUUGAUCUUUAUCUAGGUAGUGAAUAGAAUUUUCUAUCAAAAAUUCAACCUAUUCCAAUUCUUUUACACCGUUAAACUAGCAAGAAUCCCAUACCGGCCGUUAAAAAUUGUCAUUUUUGUGAGCUUUUGAUCAUAAGGUAAAUGUUGUCGAAAAAUUAUGAAAUUUGAUUUCUAAAAAUUUUAAAUGCUCUCGAUAAUAUUUAACGGUAUGGAUCGUCGAUUCGGAAGCUCUAUCAUCGAAAACAACUUAUGAGUACGAAGGCGAUCGUACUCAUAAGAGUAUAGUAGCCAGACUCUCUCUAUAUAUAUAUACCCAUUGUAUAUUGUUGUAUUAUUGUGUUGAUG